GCUCGGUGUUUUUAAACAGCCGCGGUAAUUUGACCGUGCAAAGGUAGCAUAAUCAUUUGCUUCAUAAUUGGGGGCUGGAAUGAAAGGAAGUACAAAAUUUUUACUUUAUUUUAAGGAGGCUAAAAAAUUUCUUUUCUAGUGAAGAAGCUAGAAUUUUGUUGGGGGACAAGAAGACCCUUUUGAGUUUUAUUGAUUUUAAUAUUUUUUUUUUUCUUUUAAUUUAGUUGGGGCGACUUAGGAAUUUUAUCUUCCUUAUUUUAUUUUGAUCCAAAGAUCUUGCUUAAUAGAAAAAAUUACCAAAGGGAUAACAGCGUAAUUUUUUUUGAUAGUUCUUAUUAAAAAAAAAGAUUGCGACCUCGAUGUUGACUUAUUUUUAUCAUAUGGUGUAGUAGCUGUAUAGAUAGGUCUGUUCGACCUUUAAAUUUUUACGUGAGUUGAGUUC
rnacentral:rRNA from 1 species